UGGGGAAUCUUGCGCAAUGGGCGAAAGCCUGACGCAGCCAUGCCGCGUGAAUGAUGAAGGUCUUAGGAUUGUAAAAUUCUUUCACCGGGGACGAUAAUGACGGUACCCGGAGAAGAAGCCCCGGCUAACUUCGUGCCAGCAGCCGCGGUAAUACGAAGGGGGCCUAGCGUUGCUCGGAAUUACUGGGCGUAAAGGGAGCGUAGGCGGACAUUUAAGUCAGGGGUGAAAUCCCGGGGCUCAACCUCGGAAUUGCCUUUGAUACUGGGUGUCUUGAGUAUGAGAGAGGUGUGUGGAACUCCGAGUGUAGAGGUGAAAUUCGUAGAUAUUCGGAAGAACACCAGUGGCGAAGGCGACACACUGGCUCAUUACUGACGCUGAGGCUCGAAAGCGUGGGGAGCAAACAGGAUUAGAUACCCUGGUAGUCCACGCCGUAAACGAUGAUUUGCUAGUUGUCGGGAUGCAUGCAUUUCGGUGACGCAGCUAACGCGUUAAGC
rnacentral:rRNA from 1 species